GACGUAGGGCGCGAGCGUUGUCCGGAUUUAUUGGGCGUAAAGAGCGUGUAGGCGGCUUUGCAAGUCCGUUGUGAAAACUCGAGGCUCAACCUCGAGACGCCGGUGGAAACUGCAAAGCUAGAGUCCGGAAGAGGAGAGUGGAAUUCCUGGUGUAGCGGUGAAAUGCGCAGAUAUCAGGAAGAACACCGGUGGCGAAGGCGGCUCUCUGGGCCUUACCUGACGCUGAGGAGCGAAAGCGUGGGUAGCGAACAGG
rnacentral:rRNA from 1 species